rnacentral:rRNA from 1 species
GAUCCUAGGGCUCAGAUUGAACGCUGGCGGCAGGCCUAACACAUGCAAGUCGAACGGUAACAGGAAGCAGCUUGCUGCUUUGCUGACGAGUGGCGGACGGGUGAGUAAUGUCUGGGAAACUGCCUGAUGGAGGGGGAUAACUACUGGAAACGGUAGCUAAUACCGCAUAACGUCGCAAGACCAAAGAGGGGGGACCCUUCGGGCCUCUUGCCAUCGGAUGUGCCCAGAUGGGAUUAGCUAGUAGGG